rnacentral:rRNA from 1 species
UGGGGAAUUUUCCGCAAUGGGGGCAACCCUGACGGAGCAACGCCGCGUGCGGGAGGACGGCCUUCGGGUUGUAAACCGCUUUUCUCUGGGAAGAAGGACUGACGGUACCAGAGGAAUAAGCCUCGGCUAACUCCGUGCCAGCAGCCGCGGUAAGACGGAGGAGGCAAGCGUUAUCCGGAAUUAUUGGGCGUAAAGCGUCCGUAGGCGGCUAGUCAAGUCUGCUGUCAAAGGUCAGGGCUUAACCCUGGGUAGGCGGUGGAAACUGACUAGCUAGAGAGCGGCAGGGGUAGAGGGAAUUCCCAGUGUAGCGGUGAAAUGCGUAGAUAUUGGGAAGAACACCAGUGGCGAAGGCGCUCUACUGGGCCGUUACUGACGCUGAGGGACGAAAGCUAGGGGAGCGAAAGGGAUUAGAUACCCCUGUAGUCCUAGCUGUAAACGAUGGAUACUAGGUGUUGGCCGUAUCGACCCGGUCAGUACCGAAGCAAACGCGUUAAGUAUCCCGCCUGGGGAGUACGCACGCAAGUGUGAAACUCAAAGGAAUUGACGGGGGCCCGCACAAGCGGUGGAGUAUGUGGUUUAAUUCGAUGCAACGCGAAGAACCUUACCAGGGCUUGACAUCCCGCGAAUCUCCUUGAAAGGGGGGAGUGCCUUCGGGAGCGCGGAGACAGGUGGUGCAUGGCUGUCGUCAGCUCGUGUCGUGAGAUGUUGGGUUAAGUCCCGCAACGAGCGCAACCCUCGUCCUUAGUUGCCAGCAUUAAGUUGGGCACUCUGGGGAGACUGCCGGGGACAACUCGGAGGAAGGUGGGGAUGACGUCAAGUCAUCAUGCCCCUUACGUUCUGGGCUACACACGUACUACAAUGCUUUGGACAGAGGGCAGCGAGCCGGCGACGGUGAGCUAAUCCCAUAAACCGAGGCACAGUUCAGAUUGCAGGCUGCAACUCGCCUGCAUGAAGGCGGAAUCGCUAGUAAUCGCAGGUCAGCAUACUGCGGUGAAUACGUUCCCGGGCCUUGUACACACCGCCCGU